GUAAAACUAAAAGCGAAAAUGUUGUUUGAUAAGAAUGAAAAUGUGGAGGUUAUAAAAUAAGAAAAUAUUGAAAACAUUGUAAUGUUUAAUGAAUUGUAAAAGAAAUAUGAACAACGAAAUGUUGAAAUAGGCAAGUAGAAAAAUAUGAAAUAAGAAUUUUUAGUUACGAAAUAUGUUAUAGCAAAUAAGAGAUUUUGAAUUAACAUUAAACUGGAUUUGUCAAACUGCA